UACACAUGCAGUCGAACGGACCUUUCGGGGUUAGUGGCGGACGGGUGAGUAACACGUGGGAACGUGCCUUUAGGUUCGGAAUAGCUCCUGGAAACGGGUGGUAAUGCCGAAUGUGCCCUUCGGGGGAAAGAUUUAUCGCCUUUAGAGCGGCCCGCGUCUGAUUAGCUAGUUGGUGAGGUAAUGGCUCACCAAGGCUACGAUCAGUAGCUGGUCUGAGAGGAUGACCAGCCACAUUGGGACUGAGACACGGCCCAAACUCCUACGGGAGGCAGCAGUGGGGAAUCUUGCGCAAUGGGCGAAAGCCUGACGCAGCCAUGCUGCGUGGAUGAUGAAGGUCUUAGGAUUGUAAAAUCCUUUCACCGGUGAAGAUAAUGACUGUAGCCGGAGAAGAAGCCCCGGCUAACUUCGUGCCAGCAGCCGCGGUAAUACGAAGGGGGCUAGCGUUGCUCGGAAUUACUGGGCGUAAAGGGAGCGUAGGCGGACAUUUAAGUCAGGGGUGAAAUCCCAGAGCUCAACUCUGGAACUGCCUUUGAUACUGGGUGUCUUGAGUGUGAGAGAGGUAUGUGGAACUCCGAGUGUAGAGGUGAAAUUCGUAGAUAUUCGGAAGAACACCAGUGGCGAAGGCGACAUACUGGCUCAUUACUGACGCUGAGGCUCGAAAGCGUGNGGAGCAACAGGAUUAGAACCCUGGUAGUCACGCCGUAACGAUGAUGCUAGUGUCGGAAGCUUGCUUUCGUGACGCACUACGCAUAGCAU
rnacentral:rRNA from 1 species